rnacentral:rRNA from 1 species
GGUUAAGCGACUAAGCGUACACGGUGGAUGCCCUGGCAGUCAGAGGCGAUGAAGGACGUGCUAAUCUGCGAUAAGCGUCGGUAAGGUGAUAUGAACCGUUAUAACCGGCGAUUUCCGAAUGGGGAAACCCAGUGUGUUUCGACACACUAUCAUUACGUGAAUACAUAGCGUAAUGAAGCGAACCGGGGGAACUGAAACAUCUAAGUACCCCGAGGAAAAGAAAUCAACCGAGAUUCCCCCAGUAGCGGCGAGCGAACGGGGAGCAGCCCAGAGUCUGAAUCAGCUUGUGUGUUAGUGGAACGGUCUGGAAAGUCCGACGGUACAGGGUGAUAGUCCCGUACACCAAAAUGCACAGGUUGUGAACUCGAAGAGUAGGGCGGGACACGUGGUAUCCUGUCUGAAUAUGGGGGGACCAUCCUCCAAGGCUAAAUACUCCUGACUGACCGAUAGUGAACCAGUACCGUGAGGGAAAGGCGAAAAGAACCCCGGCGAGGGGAGUGAAAAAGAACCUGAAACCGUGUACGUACAAGCAGUGGGAGCCUCUUUAUGGGGUGACUGCGUACCUUUUGUAUAAUGGGUCAGCGACUUAUAUUCUGUAGCAAGGUUAACCGUAUAGGGGAGCCGAAGGGAAACCGAGUCUUAACUGGGCGUUAAGUUGCAGGGUAUAGACCCGAAACCCGGUGAUCUAGCCAUGGGCAGGUUGAAGGUUGGGUAACACUAACUGGAGGACCGAACCGACUAAUGUUGAAAAAUUAGCGGAUGACUUGUGGCUGGGGGUGAAAGGCCAAUCAAACCGGGAGAUAGCUGGUUCUCCCCGAAAGCUAUUUAGGUAGCGCCUCGUGAA